rnacentral:tRNA from 1 species
GGGAGAGUACGGGACUGGUGUCUCGCUCGGUCUUCAAAACCGCAGAGGUCUUCGCAAGGGGACUGGUAGGUUCGAUUCCUACACUUUCCCGCCA